GGGGGCGGUACCCGGCGCCUCCACCAAAAACCGGCGGCCUCGAAGGCCGGCUUUUGAUGGGGGCGAAACAGGAUCGACAAGGGUGUAAAGAUCGUCUUUUUGCUCGGCAUUGUACCGCCGUUAUCGGGCUAAAAUUGUAGUUGCAAACGACAACUAUGCGGAAGCUCGUCUCGCUGCUUAAUCGCGGUGUGACACUUCAAUCAAAGUCCUAGUGGUUCGCACCUCUAGGCGGGGUCCG
rnacentral:tmRNA from 1 species